UAGCUGGUAAAGACCUUGAACUCCAGACAGAAAGUGGGGCUGUCUCCUGGAGGUCAGGGGAAGCCAUAGAGGGUGUGUGAGCAGGGAGCAGAAAGAAGCCCUUGGGCAGCCACUUCUCCUUUGGAGUCUAGUUCCUCAUCAGGACAUGGGAGUGUUGAAACCCACCACCCCCAACCAACACACACACCAUGAGGUCACUGGGGACUGUGUGUCAAAGGACUUAGCAUACACUGACUGUGUGGCAGCCACUCGGUGACCUUGGCUCAUUAUACUGGCUCUUUCACUGCCGCCAGUGUCCCUGCUUACAGAUGGGGAUCCUGAGACUCAGCAAAAAAGCAGAAUGGAACCCAGGACCCCGAAGGGUGGGGUCCGUCAGUCUGUCUAUCCUAUCCUUCUCAUGAUGUGGAGUUUCCAGGGGAUUCCCCACCCAGAACGCAGAGCCUUCCAGAAUCUGUCACGAGGAACCAGGCACUUAAACAUCUGACCAAGGACAGACAACUCGGACCCACGUCAGCCAACGUUCCAGCUGCUGGGCCGGACUAGAGAGUGAACCUGUGAAUAGCCUGGAGCCCCAGAGGUGGGGCCAGGGACCUUGUCCCCAACAGCUGUGUCCCUAUGUGACGCUCGCUGGUCGUUUGUUCAACAAGGGAAAAAUACUAAGGACCAUCCCACACAUUCGCGAUUUCCUCGUGCCUCAUUUCAGCCCCAACCCACUGUUGAUGACAGCUGCCGGUGACCCGUCCGCGUCCCCGCAGGCCUUGGAGGAUGCCGGCCAUUCAGUCACGCAGUCCGGGGAGGCAGAGAAUGCGGUGCAGUCCGGGAGGCAAGGCCCCACCUGCUUACACCCUCGGGGCCCGGAUGUGCCCCCACCCGCUCUGCGCUACCCUGAGACCAAGGCAGGCCUGCCUGACCAGGACUUCGAGGCUCCCAGCAAAUCAAGGUGAUUCCCCGCUGGACGCUCCCACUUUCCAGAUCUGAGGAAGCAAGGCCGGAGAGGGUGAGUCCUCAGUCACUCUCCUGGCCCGUUAGCCACAGACCCACCCGUGUCCCUCCUUACCCCACUUCCAGCUCCAGUGACCCACAGGCCUGGUGGCCCCAACGGGCCCAGUCGCUGGGUCUUGGUUUCGGAAUCCCCUUGCCCAGCAGCCGGGAAGACUGAGAGCUGAUGCCCUUGAAGCCGCUGCAGUGGCUCCUGGGAGAUUUCCUGACCUGCCUACUGACCAUGGGCGGACUUGGCGCAGGCGGCUGGCCCUUCUGAGCCAUAGCAUCCUCAUCUGCAAAGGUGGAUGGGGUCAGGGGCCAGCUCCUGACUCACUUCCAACAUCAGCGCCACUGUGGUCUUCGUGGUUCUGUACUUCCUGACAGCCCUCAGCUGGGAUUUCCAAAGGGGCAUGCAUGGAACAUUCUGGGACCUCCAAAAGGCGAGGGCUCAUGGAUUUUGACUCAUUUGGAGGAGCUGACCUCGGGGAGCCCACCUCCUCGGAAACUGCUCAGGGUACCUGGGAUGCGUCCGGGUGGGGAUCGGUGGCUGGAUCGGAGACCCCGGCCCUAGCUGAGCCUCAAAAGGGCAUCUCUGGACUGCUUUCCUAGCUGGAGGAACUCAGGUUUCCUGGGCCCUGCCUCUGGGGACUGCCUGAAGGACCCCCACAGGUUCACGCUGCUCAGAGACCUCCUCCAGGCCUUCUGCUGGAGCCCUGCAGCCUUCACAACAUUAUUUCUCUCACGCAAAGAUAAAUACCACGAAUGAGAACGCAAUGAGCCACAUAAUCAGGAUUAAAGUUAACACAGCAGUCCUGUGUGUGGUCUUUCGGCCAUCUGCUCCUUUACCCACCACACCUGCGCCAGAAGGAAGAAAUGUGCAUUAUAGACUCCCUUUGGAGGAACCAUCAACUGGCAACAAUUAUCAAUGACAUUACCCCAAAGGGGGGAAAAGGUGGACAUGGCAUCUCCCAUAAGAAGUCAACUACCCCUGGAACUCAGCCAAUAAACUGUCAUCACCCUGAACUCUUCCUUCUCUCCAAUGGACUUAAGUUCAGACCAACCUCUCCCAACUUCCUUCUCAUAAAAUAACGUGCCUCUCCUUUGUUUAUGGGACAUGCCUGUGGUUUUGCUACAGCCUGCAUGUCCCAAACUGUAAUUCCUCUGCUAUUCACAAAUAAAUCCAUUUUGCUGGCAAAACAA